rnacentral:rRNA from 1 species
UACGGAGGGUGCAAGCGUUAUCCGGAUUCACUGGGUUUAAAGGGUGCGUAGGUGGGUUGGUAAGUCAGUGGUGAAAUCUCCAGGCUUAACUUGGAAACUGCCAUUGAUACUAUCAAUCUUGAAUACCGUGGAGGUCAGCGGAAUAUGUCAUGUAGCGGUGAAAUGCUUAGAUAUGACAUAGAACACCAAUUGCGAAGGCAGCUGGCUACACGAAUAUCGACACUGAUGCACGAAAGCGUGGGGAUCAAACAGG